rnacentral:rRNA from 1 species
UACAGAGGCCUCAAGCGUUAGGCGGAAUCACUGGGCUUAAAGCGCGUGUAGGUGGACUUUUAAGUGCUUUGUGAAAUCCCACGGCUCAACCGUGGAACUGCUUGGUAUACUGCGGGUCUUGAGCCACCUAGGGGCGAGCGGAACAAGUGGUGGAGCGGUGAAAUGCGUAGAUAUCACUUGGAACGCCAAUGGUGAAAACAGCUCGCUGGGGGUGUGCUGACGCUGAGACACGAAAGCCAGGGGAGCAAACGGG